rnacentral:lncRNA from 1 species
CUGUCUCUACUAAAAAAUACAAAAAACUAGCCAGGCGAGGUGGCGGCGCCUGUAGUCCCAGCUACUCAGGAGGCUGAGGCAGGAGAAUGGUGUAAACCCGGGAGGCGGAGCUUGCAAUGAGCUGAGAUCCGGCCACUGCACUCCAGCCUGGGCCACAGAGCGAGACUCCGUCUCAAAAAAAAAAAAAAAAAAAAGAUUCUCUCUUACACCUGUAAUCCCAACAUUUUGGGAGGCCAAGGCGGGCGGAUCACUUGAGAUCAGGAGUUAGAGACCAGACCAACCAACUGGUGAAACCUCAUUUCUACCAAAAAUACAAAAAAUUAGCUGGAUGUGGUGGCACACACCUGUAAUCCCAGCUACCUGGGAGGCUGAGGCAUGAGAAGCACUUGAUCGUGGGAGGCAUAGGUUGCAGUGAGCCGAGAUGAUGACACUACAUUCUAACCUGGGCAACAGAGUGAGACUCUGUAUCCAAAACAAAACAGGAAAAGAUUUUCUGUGAGAAUGACGGCAUCGGCCCCUCAGGUGGGAGCGCUUCUCCAGGGCGAGGCUCCGUAUGUGGAUGUGAUCUGUGUGAACAGCUGCUACUCUUGGUAUCACGACUACAGGCACCUGGAGUUGAUUCAGCUGCAGCUGGCCACCCAGUUUGAGAACUGGUGUAAGAUGUUUCAGAAGCCCAUUAUUCAGAGCAAGUACAGAGCGGAAAUGAUUGCAGGGUUUCAUUAG